GAGUAAUGCUUAGGAAUCUGCCUAUUAGUGGGGGACAACAUUUCGAAAGGAAUGCUAAUACCGCAUACGUCCUACGGGAGAAAGCAGGGGAUCUUCGGACCUUGCGCUAAUAGAUGAGCCUAAGUCGGAUUAGCUAGUUGGUGGGGUAAAGGCCUACCAAGGCGACGAUCUGUAGCGGGUCUGAGAGGAUGAUCCGCCACACUGGGACUGAGACACGGCCCAGACUCCUACGGGAGGCAGCAGUGGGGAAUAUUGGACAAUGGGCGGAAGCCUGAUCCAGCCAUGCCGCGUGUGUGAAGAAGGCCUUAUGGUUGUAAAGCACUUUAAGCGAGGAGGAGGCUACUCUAGUUAAUACCUAGGGAUAGUGGACGUUACUCGCAGAAUAAGCACCGGCUAACUCUGUGCCAGCAGCCGCGGUAAUACAGAGGGUGCAAGCGUUAAUCGGAUUUACUGGGCGUAAAGCGCGCGUAGGCGGCUAAUUAAGUCAAAUGUGAAAUCCCCGAGCUUAACUUGGGAAUUGCAUUCGAUACUGGUUAGCUAGAGUGUGGGAGAGGAUGGUAGAAUUCCAGGUGUAGCGGUGAAAUGCGUAGAGAUCUGGAGGAAUACCGAUGGCGAAGGCAGCCAUCUGGCCUAACACUGACGCUGAGGUGCGAAAGCAUGGGGAGCAAACAGGAUUAGAUACCCUGGUAGUCCAUGCCGU
rnacentral:rRNA from 1 species